rnacentral:rRNA from 1 species
AACGAACGCUGGCGGCGUGGAUAAGACAUGCAAGUCGGACGAGAUUUUUCGUUGUAGCAAUAUGAUGGGAAGUUUAGUGGCGAACGGGUGCUUAACACGUGGGCAACCUGCCAGGAAGUGGGGGAUAGCUCGCCGAAAGGCGAAUUAAUACCGCAUGUGAUUAGAGAGGACAUCCUUUCGAAAUUAAAGUCGGGGCAACCUGACGCUUCUUGUGGGGCCCGCGGCCUAUCAGCUAGUUGGUGGGGUAACGGCUCACUAAGGCUUUGACGGGUAGCUGGUCUGAGAGGACGACCAGCCACACUGGGACUGAGACACGGCCCGGACACCUACGGGUGGCAGCAGUCGAGAAUUUUUGACAAUGGGGGAAACCCUGAUCGAGCGACGCCGCGUGGAGGAUGAAGGUCUUCGGAUUGUAAACUCCUGUCAUUGGGGAACAAUGCGUGACGGUUAACUGCCGUCGCGUUGAUAGUACCCGAAGAGGAAGAGACGGCUAACUCUGUGCCAGCAGCCGCCGUAACAC